GAUGAGGCUCUGGAUAGGAGUAUGGGCUUGAGUAAGCUGCUGCCUCAGUCCAAACUUUGGGCUUAGGCAGCAGCUUUCUCGGACCCAUACUCCUAUCCAGAACCUCAUC
rnacentral:pre_miRNA from 1 species